UUCUAUUUCUUCUAAAUAUUUCUUUUAGAAUAUGGAGAACUUAUGCUACAGACUGCAGAGGCACUAAGUAAUGACUAAAGGAACUUGCCUAUGAAUUGCUUCAAGGGUCCCUUUCUAUUAAAUGGACAGAAAAGGAAUUGAUUUAUUCCACCUAACAUUGAUUAUUUUGGUAAAGGUCACCUGGAGAAAACUUUUUUCUGCUGGGAUUCAACUCAAGGAGUGAAAUAAUUGAGAAGACGGGUAGGCACUGGAGCAUGGAGAGCCCUUCAGUCUCUGGGGAUAUAUACUACAGAAUAAAAUUAUCAACUCUCUCAACUUUAUUGACUGUACUGAGAAUAAUUCUGACUAUAAUCUGUUUCACACAUAGAUACCCCUUUGAAAGAUGUGGGAAUCCAAGGCUUCCCUCUAGCUGCCCUGGCAGGUCUG